UCCGUAGGGUGCGAGCGUUGUCCGGAAUUAUUGGGCGUAAAGAGCUCGUAGGCGGUGUGUCACGUCGGCCGUGAAAACCUGCAGCUUAACUGUGGGCGUGCGGUCGAUACGGGCAUCACUGGAGUUCGGCAGGGGAGACUGGAAUUCCUGGUGUAGCGGUGAAAUGCGCAGAUAUCAGGAGGAACACCGGUGGCGAAGGCGGGUCUCUGGGCCGAUACUGACGCUGAGGAGCGAAAGCGUGGGGAGCAAACAGG
rnacentral:rRNA from 1 species